rnacentral:sRNA from 2 species
UGUAUCUGAAGUCUGACGAGGAUGAGAACCUCCGGGGGCAAGAGGUUCGACUUGAGCGAAGCGAGAGAACGUUGCGUCAGCAACGGCCCGCAGGGCGAGCCACGCAGUGGCGAGUCAUCCUCUAUCACCGGCAG